rnacentral:tRNA from 1 species
GCCAGAGUGGUGGAACUGGAAGACGCGCUGGACUCAAAAUCCAGUGGGCGCAAGCCCGUGUGGGUUCGACUCCCACCUCUGGCACCA